rnacentral:rRNA from 1 species
GAUGGGCCCGCGGCCUAUCAGCUUGUUGGUGGGGUGAUGGCCUACCAAGGCGACGACGGGUAGCUGGUCUGAGAGGAUGGCCAGCCACAUUGGGACUGGAACACGGCCCAGACUCCUACGGGAGGCAGCAGUGGGGAAUCUUGCGCAAUGGGCGAAAGCCUGACGCAGCGACGCCGCGUGUGGGAUGACGGCCUUCGGGUUGUAAACCACUGUCGGGAGGGACGAAGAUCUGACGGUACCUCCAAAGGAAGCACCGGCUAACUCUGUGCCAGCAGCCGCGGUAAUACAGAGGGUGCGAGCGUUGUCCGGAAUCACUGGGCGUAAAGGGCGCGUAGGCGGCUUGAUAAGUAGGGGGUGAAAUCCUGUGGCUUAACUGCAGGGCUGCCUCCUAGACUGUCUGGCUUGAGCACGGUAGAGGCAGAUGGAAUUCCCGGUGUAGCGGUGGAAUGCGUAGAGAUCGGGAAG